UCUAGUUUAGCAUAUAUUUAAUGCGAAAGAUUGUAAAUCUUUUUACGGUAUUAGUCAGUAUUA
rnacentral:tRNA from 1 species